GACGAACGCUGGCGGCGUGCUUAACACAUGCAAGUCGAACGGAAAGGCCCUGCUUUUGUGGGGUGCUCGAGUGGCGAACGGGUGAGUAACACGUGAGUAACCUGCCCUUGACUUUGGGAUAACUUCAGGAAACUGGGGCUAAUACCGGAUAGGAGCUCCUGCUGCAUGGUGGGGGUUGGAAAGUUUCGGCGGUUGGGGAUGGACUCGCGGCUUAUCAGCUUGUUGGUGGGGUAGUGGCUUACCAAGGCUUUGACGGGUAGCCGGCCUGAGAGGGUGACCGGCCACAUUGGGACGGAGAUACGGCCCAGACUCCGACGGGAGGCAGCAGUGGGGAAUAUUGCACAAUGGGCGGAAGCCUGAUGCAGCAACGCCGCGUGCAGGAUGACGGCCUUCGGGUUGUAAACCGCUUUCGCCUGUGACGAAGCGUGAGUGACGGUAAUGGGUAAAGAAGCACCGGCUAACUACGUG
rnacentral:rRNA from 1 species